rfam:Solanum tuberosum cultivar DM 1-3 516 R44 scf00073_7, whole genome shotgun sequence.
GGGAAUUUGGUCUAGUGGUAUGAUUCUCGCUUUGGGUGCGAGAGGUCCCCGAGUUUGAUUCUCGGAAUGCCCC